CUCGCCCUCAUCCAGCCUGGACGCCCACAUGAUUUAGAAUUGGUGCAAAAUAGUAAGGGAGCAGUGUUCUUGAUCGACUUCAGGAAACCGUUUCUCAGAUGGCAAGGCUCCAGUGGCCAUGGGAAGAUGGAAUGGCACUCCGUGGUCACUCAGAGAUGGCAGUGCUGACCUCCGAUGCAGAUUCCAGGCCAUGUUUGGAGCUGGGCAUGCUGUUAUUUGAUACAUCUCUCAUCAGGUAAGUCCCC
rnacentral:lncRNA from 1 species